rnacentral:lncRNA from 1 species
ACAGGGGGAGGUGCUAAUUGCAUGGUGUUUUCGGCUACAGGUGUCGCGCGAUCCUUACCCUUCUUUCGGCGAACUUCCCCUAAAGUUUCCCUAAUAUUGUCAUCACUGGUACCCUCAAUGCUUAUAGAUUUUUCAACAAAUUUCUGCUUAUUGUUAGCAGUACCACUAUCCUCCUCAAUUGGAUUCUUUCUAGUUCGUAAGUCCUGCACGAGAGUGUAAUACCCCUUACCGGGUCUGGUCGCCGGAUCCAAGUAAUGAGAUGUUACUAACAAUUACCAAACAAUUUCAUAUAAUUUAUUAAUGAAAAUCUCAUAUAAAUAUUAAAUUAACACAAAUGAGCAUGUAUAAAUACAUUAUUCAACCUAUCUCAGGUAAAUAUUGAGUAUACAAAAGCUUAAAAACAAUUUGGGAAUGAAUAGGGAUAAAUUUGAAUUAAAAACAAAAAGUCGGGAAAAAUUUGGAACGGCUGUGUCCUAAGAUCGUGUGGAAAAGUUAAGGCCAUGUGGGUGGGUCAUAUUGUCAUGUGAGCAAACCGUGUAACAACCUAAUACCGUGUGAAAUUAAGGUCACACGGCCGUGUGGGUAGACUGUGUGACAUAGUUCAACUCGUGUGACUCCAAAACAUGGCCGUGUGGCCAAACCGUAUAACUCUCUAAGACCAUGUGCAGCAAAAAUUACCAAAAUUCACAAGGCAUAUGGUCGUGUCUCUAGGCCGUGUGUACUUGUAAUUACCUUUCAAAACAAGUUUUCUAACAUGCUUCACUUAGGCUACAAAUCUUCCAUUUUAAACUACAGUCAACCAUUCCAAAAGCAAUCAAAACAAGCUAAUUUCAUCAUUUAUAAUCACCAUCCUAAGUGCCUCACCAAUAUACCACAAUUGGCACCUCAAUUAACAAUUCAAAGUUAACCAAAUGAAUAUAUACAAAUGCACCAAUAUGCAUUCAAGGCACCUCAACAAUUUCCAUCAUUCUAACAUAAUCAAAAGAGCAUAUAAAUACCACUUCAAUAGUCACUAAAUGAUAUACUCAUCUUCAACUUCUAAAGCACCAAUUAACCAUUCAAUCAAUCUACAACAUUAAGCAUUAACUUACCAAAACCUCCGUAAACAUAACCUAAAAGUAUAUCAUCCAUCAUUCACAUCCAAGCAUCAAUCAAAACACAAUGCAUACCAUGAUAUUAUCUCAUCCAUUUGAACAUUAGACAUAAAACAAAACAACCUAACAAGUCAUCAACAACAAACCAUUAACAUCACAUGCAUACAUAUAUAUACAUAGCCUUCAAAAUGCCAACCAACAUAAUGACUUAUAAAUAUAAAAAAAUUCCUAGGUACAUGCUAAGACCAAAAGAACAAUUCACCAACACUUGAGUUCGGGAUUGCCUCUGGAUGUUGAGUUGAUGAUUGAUUCUUUAAGUACCUAACUUGCGCAUGGAAAACAAAAUCAUAUGUUGAUAUAACUCAAUGGUAUUUCUAUAAUAUGAACAUUUAAAACAUAAUAUAAGUCAUAAUGAUGCAUAAACUUAAUAAAGAUAAUAUGCAAUAUAUAAACUCAAUAGGCUAAUUCACAUAGUCAUUAAUCCCAGUAUGCUCAUUUUACCAGUAUUAAGACAUAGCAAUCACAUUUCAUAAGUCAUUUGCAAAUUAAACUAAUGUAAUGGCACAUUUCAUCUCAAUUUCUCAUUUCAAGUGUUCAUUGAACAAAUACAAUCAAUAUUCAUAGUUCAAUCUAUUAUUUCAUAUUACAUUUCACAUUUCAUUUCAUUUCAUAACAUUUAUUAUUUCAGUAGCAUCGCUAUUUCAAUAGCAUUUCCAUUUCAAUAUCAUUAUCUUGAUUUCACCAUUUAUUUCCCUAUUAACACGACUUAAACUUGAAUGGAUACAAGGAUCCAACCAACACACCAGUUUAGCACCCAGUGCCUCAUCCAAUAAAUCUGAAACAAUUAGUUAUGCCUAGUGUUAUAAAUAAGUUUGACACCCAGUGUCUUAUUGGUUAAACAGAAGCAAAUUGGCACCCAAUGACUUGUAGUCGAAGUAACCCUGAACUCUUCCUAUCCUAUGACAUGCCAACUAUAUUCGACUCUGCUCGGACAGUUAAUAGGGUAUUUAAUUCAUUCUUCUAUAUCAUUCAAUAACUCAAUUCACAUCAAUUUAAUCAUGAACUCAUUCAUUCAAACAUAUGGAAACAUCAAAUAUCUCAUUUUGUAGUCAAUUUCCAUAUUUAUAUGAAUAUACGCAUGUUUUUCACAUAUAAUCAAUUUAGCCCCUAUAAUCAUCAAUCAAUUCAAAUCAUCUCAAUUAAACAAGGAACCUCACCUUACAUUCUUACCAUGCAUAACCAAAUCAAAAUGCAUCAAUUACAAGUUAGUUCGGAUUAUAAAAACACAAACCGUAAACUCUAAGCUAUUCGUUGAUAAAUUUGUCUUUUCCUUUCUUUUUCGAGGAAUACAGGUCGACGUUAGCCACAGAUUAGAAAAACAUAAUAAAUUAUCAAUAAAACGUCAAUUUCACAUUCAAUUUCUAAUUUAUGAAAAUUUUACAUUUUAUUCAAUUUAGUACCUAAAAUCGAGACUAACAUAACUUUCACAUUUAGCCUCAAAAUUUUAUACUAUUUUCAUUCUAGGUCUAAUUUAACUUUAUUUUUCACAUUUCUACCACUAAAUUUAAAAUUUGUUUAUUUUAGACCCUAUUGCACAAAUUUAACAAUUGACUUUACAAUCUAGUCCUUAGUCAAUUCUAAACUUAAAAUUUAUCAAAAUAACACCUCAAACUCCAAAUAUUCAACAAUGGUAACAUUCUAAAUCUUUAACAGUUCUAAAAAUUAUGACAUGGGUCAGCUAAUUUGGAGUACCGAGAUUCCAAAAACAUAAAAAUUACAAGAAAAUGACUAAAUUGAACUAACCAAUUUAAGGUUUGAAACUUUGAAAACCUAGUCGUGCCCAAUCUCCCUUUCUAUUUUGCUUCGAAAUAUUUUGGAUGAAAAGGAAAUAAUGUUUCUCUUUCAAUCCACUAAUAUCAUCUUUUAAAUUUCUUUUAAUUUUAUUUAUUUUUAUUUUAUUAUUAUUUCUUUAAUUUAACUAAAAUUUAUAAUAUAAAAUAUAUAUAACACUAAGUUUUAACCAGUCACAUAUAUAUUAUUAUAUAAUGGUUUAUUUACUUUAUAAGUCUUAUAUAUUAAAUUCUAAUUGUAAUCUCUUAAUAAUUCUUACUUUAAUCACUUACGCGAUUUAGUCCCUAUACUCUAAUUAAACACUAUUUCGAUGAAAUUACCUAUCCGAAAUUCAAUUCACUUCUAAUGAAGCUUCGUAAAUAUUUAAUAAAGAUAUUUACGAGUUUGGUUCACAGAAACGGAGUCUCAAAACUAUACAUUCUGAUACCACUAACUUUCAGGUCAUUACAAAGAGACCUAAUAUCCAUAAUUUGCCUAAGUUUUUUCAACGAGCUACCACAACGUUGUGAAUCUGAGUCCGCAGCACAAACAACGACAACACCUGCAUUAUCAAUAAGGUUACCGACAACAUCACUUUUCAUUGCAUGGGAGCUUACAGCACCUUCCUGAUCACCGGUAGAAAAGGAAGAACACUUGCAAGGUAGCAACUUACAAUAUGAAUACAAAAAAAUUUACGAACUCCGCUUUUUACCCUAACAAAAUCAGCCCCAAUUUGUCAAUAGCGCCAUGGGGCCAAGCAAGCUCUGCAGACAACACAAGAUUGGGGUUCACACCACUCGUAAUGUUAACCACCCGAAAACCAUUAGGAAUUGACUCCAAAAGACAGUACCAAAAUAUAUUUCGUACAGUUAGGAAGUGUUCUAAUCUCAGCACGUGACCCUUACAUAACUUUGCAUAUUGGGUAGCGGGGAUCUCAAAAUCAAAGGGUUGCCGCUGCGUGCAAAUGUUUGUACUCGGAAGAGACCAUGUAAUCUGGAAACUAAAAUCAUCUUCAAACUUCUAUUUUAGUUUUAUAGAUUUGCACUGAUUAAUCCGAAGAUUUGACGACCAAUUUCGAAUAAUUGAAUCAAACCCUUCCUAAGGAAAAAAUAAGUCAUCCCCCGCGAAUUCUCUCGAUUUGAAACUUUCAACUAGUAAAUACUUUGAAAAACACACAAUAGGGGAGGUUCAUCUCGAAUACAAUAAUUAAUAAAAUAAGCAACAAGUAUCCACCAAGAAAAACUCGUGAGCUAUCCUGGUGAAAUUUGAUACUCUUGCAGCAUGGUAUAGAAAAACGGAUGAAGGGGGAGGUGGAAGCCCGCCUCUAGUAAAUGCAAAGGAAACAAAAAGCUUUCUUCAAUAUCGUUUAAUCUUCUCUCACCUUUUUUAAUAUCAAAAUCGAAGGUGAAAUUUGACAACUUAAUUCUGCAAAUAAAAAGAUGCCAAAUCAUCUCCACCUUAGUCAUCGUACACCAAUGUAUGUUCUCCUCUAUGAGAACACAAGCAUUGCGCUGCCUCUUGCAACCACCACCUUCAACCUCCACCCUAAAUCAACAACCCUGGUUGCCACGGCUCGUUCGACCACCCCACCCUAUUAUAACUCUAGCCAUAUUAAACAAGCAAAUGCAAAACAAUAUGAGUAAUAGUCGAUUAGCUUACCUAUUAGCAGAUAAUUCCCUCGUUCUGCCAAACAUACACGAUGCCCAGAUCGAAUAGUUCCAAAAAAUUGACAAGGAAGAGAACAACAACAAACUGGGAUAGGAAGAAAAUAUUUGGAAAGAAAAAUUAAAACAAAACAAGAUAUGGAAACAAAAUAUUUAUGAAAAGUAAUUUAAGGAUUCAAGCAAAAUAAGGAAAUGAAAUAUUUAUGAAAAGUAAUUUAGAGAUUCAGGCAAAAAAAUUCUCCCUAAAAAGGGAAAAAAUCAAUUAAAUUUUAGGAAAACAAAUAAAAGAAUAAAAUCCUCAAACAGAAUUUAAGGAGAAGCAAUCUAGGGUUUAAAAAAUUAUUUUACCUUAAGGAAACGAACCGUCUGAAACUUACUCAAUAAGUCUCUACUAAAAAAAUGCCUGAUAAGCCCCCAUUUAUACGAUCUACAUGUGUAAGUUGGUCUCAGAAGGGCCAUUUUAUAACCCUUCUUUGACAAAGUGUGGGACAUAUUGUUAUAGAGUACUUUAGAAAUUGAAAAUCGACCCAGUCACAUGAAACAAAAGGCCUGAUCCAAUUUGCGAGUAGCCAGGGCCUCGCGAAGUGCCAACACCUCCUUGACUUACAAAGUGCCAAGGUGGUCCCUCGCCACCUCGCUAAGUGCCAACACCACCUUGGCACUUCGCCUUGAAUCCCUCAUCACCUCGUGAGGUCAUAAACUGCCUACCGUUAACACCAUGCGAAGCGUGACCUUUUCACUACCUUACGGGAGGAGACGUGUUUCAGGGCACAUGUCUAACCUAAGGGGGUGAACGUGUUUUGGGCAUGGCACCUAGUGAUCCCCUAGUAUGUCACACAGAGAAUCUGUGCCUUAUAUAUAUGAGAAGGAUGCUCCUAAGAAAGGAGAGACAAAAGAGAACCUCAACACGAUUAUUUUUAAAGCUAUAUCUAUUUAUUUAUUACAAGUGAAUUUUGUUUUAUAUUAUUAUUAGUAUUAAUAUUAAUAUUAGAUACAUAGUUAUUGAAAAAUUUUAAUUCCAUAAGUAGGAUUCAAAUAUCAAUAAGAAAACUUAAUUUUUAUUUUUUAUUGCACAUUAAAGAAGUAAAUGUGACUUUCUAAACUCUAUUUGUUAAGUUUAAACUUAAUAUUAUCUACAAACAGUGGUUCAAAUAACUUUCCUUCAUCAUCAUCAUCAUUUAUCUAUUAUAAUACAUUUUGUUGAUUACAUUGCCAUAAUUUUUAAUUAUUUAUUGUAUGUGAAUUUUUGUAUUUUAAUUAUAUAUUACUUGCUAAAAUUUAACAUUUUGUAUAAUAUUGUUUUUGUUGUCUUAAAUUUUCUUCCUAUAUUAUUAUAUUUUAUUUUAAGCAAUAGUUUAAUAAUUUUUUUCGUCUUUAUUUAUAAUUAAGACAAUUUAAGAGGCGAAUGGAAAGGAAGGGAGGGCCUUGCUCCCUUGCUUAAAUGAUCCAAUUGCACUUCUAGCCCUACUUAAGCUUAAAUAAUUUAAUUUUAUUCUCUUUUUCCUCUUUGUUAAAUGAAAAUUUUACAUUUUUGACACUUCUAGAGAAUUAAUAAUUCAAUUUAAACUAUUUUAAUAUAACUUUCUUAGCUUUGCCUCCCGAAAAAACUCAGUAAAUGUGAUUGUAAGUAUCUUAUAUUUCCUAAAAGAACAAAAUCUUACAUUUCAAAUAAAUGAACCAAAGCAAUAUAAUAUACUCAUGAACAUGCUAAAUAAUUUUAAUUUUUGUAAUCUUAUUACUAGAGAUAAUCUUACAUCACCAUUCAAAUGUUUAUUAUGUAAACUACACUUAUAGUCACCCAACCCAACUAUUAGUAUUUUUGUUGUCACCGAACUAUGAAAAGUUACGGAACCAUCAUCCAACAAUUCAAUUUUAUAUUUGCUGCUCACCAACUGGCUAAUUGUGUUAACUUUUAAAAUUGACAUAAUAACAACUUUAACCCUCAAUAUUUAUACAUUGUGUCAAUUUAGUCUUAAUUCUAAAAAAAUUAACCCUAAAAAUUUACACAUUGUGUAAUUUGGUCUCUCUCUUUUUCUUUGCAGUUUGCUUUUCUUUGUGACCCUUUCACCUAAAAAAUUAAAAAAAAUCUAAAUUUGAUUGAAAAUAUACAAAAAUAGAAACACCCAAAAAUAAAAUAUAAUGAUUUUCAUCUUUUCUUGUUCUUUUAAAAUUAACCCUCAAUAUCACAAAGAAUAUUAAAAGUAAAAAAAAAAGAGAUCAAAUUGCACAAUGUAUAAAUGUCGAGAGUUAAAAUAUUUUUAGAACCAAGACUAUAUUGACAUAAUUUAUAAAUGUUGAGGGUUAAAGUUGCUAUUACAACAAUUUUAAGAGUUCCCACCAUUAACCAUCUAGUAACAAAAAAAGAAAAUUAAAUAGUUGAGUAUCUGUUUUGUAAUUUUUCAUAAUUGAGUUAUCAAAAAUAAAAUUUAAUAAUAGUUAUGUAACUAAUAGUAUAGCUUACCUAAAUUUAUUUUAAUUAAGUUAAAUAAUUUUUUUAAGCAUCAUUUAAAAAAAAUGAAUCUCCGUUUUUUUAUAAAUUAAAUGCCUAAAUUAUUUGUAAUCCUCAAAUCACUGAAGUUUAUAAUCAUUCCAACAUACCUUCUUCCAAGGUUUUUACAAUAGAAUAGAAAAUUGAUACGGUUAAAUGUAAGGAAAAACUGAGAGCAGUACACCAUGCAUGAGCAAAGGAGGUAAAAUCUGUGGUGGAUAGUUAAAUUUUUUGUUUACUGGAAAUCAGUUAGUUUGAUUUGUUGAGUAGGAGGGAAUGGGCCAAUUGUAGAUUCGCCGAAUCCGACAAAUUAUUAAGGUACUACGAUACGAGUUGCCAGGCCAUGUCUGCUACUGACACAAGCUGUAAGAGCCCAACCUCAGAUUUGGGAGACACAUCAUUUGGUCCACCUCCUUUCAGAUUUUUAAGAUCAUUAUUAAAUUUAUAUUAAUAGUUUGACAUCAGUAAUAAAUAUUUUUUUGCUAUAAAAUAAAAAGAUAGGAAGUAAAAAAUAAAGAAAAUAGGAGAGUAAAGAGAGAACGUAUUUUAUUGAUCAAUAGGUUUAAUUUAUGAUGCUUCUUGUACAAGCCCAUUUUGCCCGGCCCAUUACAAACCCAUCUUAAACAAACCAACUUAAAAUAACCCAAACCCAACCCCCUAAACACCGGCACAAAACCUAAUUUUUUUUACAGCCCAAAUUCACUAGCCUAACCCAAACAACAUAAUCCAAGCCCAACCAGGCCCAAUACCCAAAUCAGACCCAAAUUUUAAACUAGGGUUUCAGUUUUCUGAAACCCUAGCCUAGUCUAGCGCCGUAACUUGCUGGUCUCGCCGUUUGUCACGCCUGCGCCUCCUCUGCCACGCCACCAACUCCCUCACCUGCCCUCUGACUCCCUGCAAGAUGAAAGAACACGCAAAGUAGAGACCAAGCAGUAGAAAAUAACAUUUUAUUGUAUCAUUUUCGGGGGAUAAAAGGGCAGAAGAUCAUCUCAAAAAAGGGGGCUUCAUCACUGUAAUCAUGGGGGGAUUUUUCUUUUAUUUUCGGCAAAAGCCGAGUUUGCUGUAAAAGAAGAAGAGUUUUCUCUUCUUUCGGUUUGCUAUGAACAUUAAGAUAAAUAAGAAAACCAAAACAGAUUUUUGAAGGUGACUUUUUCUUUUUUACGUUUCUUGCUUGUUUUAUUUUAUUUUUUUAUUUUAUCUUUUACAUAAGAAAUACGAAAUAAAAGGAGGCAAAGAAAGCUUACCUGCGCCGCGCCGGAGAAAGGGGGAAAACGAACGGUUUUCUCAUUUUCCUCCCGGUUUUGGCCCAUUUUUAACGAACCCAACCUCGAAUCCGGGUUCCCAGGAAAGAUCGGCUUCAAAUAGGGCUAAAAAGGUCCAUUCUUGCACCUCCGGCCGCCGCUUGCGGUGGAGCCACGGCGGAGGUGAACUGGACCGGUGGCCGGAUUCUGGGAAGGAGAUGAGAGGAGAGUUUUGAAAUUUUUUUUUAAAAGAAUGGGGGCUGAAUGAAAGUUUUUCAGAAAAUUUGGGCUUAAAUACUGAUAUAAAACGGCACCGUUUUGAUAGGGUCAGGACAGCCCCAAAACGACGUCGUUUUGGGCUCCUGACCCGAGACCCGACCCGUCUGCCUUAGGGGAUCCGCGUGUUUUAACGGAAGGGCUAAUUGCGCGUUUAGCCCUUCCGCUUUUUAAUGCUUUUAAAAUUAGGUUCUUUUAAUCUUUUGAAUUUUACCCGGAAUUUUAUUGCGUUUUCAAUGUAGUCCCUUCUGAAACUACGUCGUUUUAAAGGCGAAGGACAAAUUUCCUCUUUAAGUCCCUCCAUGUCUCGCGCGUGUUUAGAAUUAUCCCUCCCUUUUUAUUUAUUUGUGAUUUGACCCGAAUUUUGUUAAAUUUUUAACUUAGUCCUUUUGUUAUUUUGUUUAUUUUCUUAAUAUUAUAUUAUUAUUAUUAUUUCCUCAUUUAUAUAUAUACAUACUUAUAUAUAUUUUAUAUUUUAUAAUUUUUAUAUAUAUUUUUAUAUACAUAUACGUGUAUAUACAUACUUACAUAAACUUUUAUAUUUAAUAAUUUUGAAAUACAUAUAUACAUAUAUUUUUCAUAUUUUUAUAAAUUUAUAAAUUUAUGUGCAUACACACUUUUUUUUAUAUAACGUAUAUACUUAUAUUAUAUAUAUACAUAUUAUUUUUUAAUCUAUAUACCUAUAUAUGUAAAUGUUUAUGCUUUUAUUUUUUAUAAUCCAUAUACAUAUCUUUUAUUUAUUUUCUUCAUUUAUUUAUUUAUUUGUAUGUCCAUUAUUAUUAUUAUUUAUUAUGCUUUAUAUUGGUUUAUUAUUGUAUAUACGUGAUUGAUUUUAUUUAUAUAUAUAUGAUUUCUUAUUUACUUAUAUUUUGUUUUCCUCGAGAUUAUUUUGCUUACACCAUCAUCAUUCCAUUACGCCCAUUUCUAUUUAGAUUUCAAAAAAGAAAUUUUAAAAAAAUAUAAGUAAUAUUCGGUAUUUUGGAUCUUCGAGAGAAUCGAGCCCUAACGUAUUGGGUUCCGACUUUCUUCGUUGAACUUAAAUAAUCGAGACUACUCUUCAAAAAUGAUAACAAGCUCGUUAUCAAGAAUUCAAUACGUUGUGUCCUAACGCAUUGGAUGUGACAUGUUGCUUUCUCGAAACGAGAAUUUUUCGAAAUAAAUGUAAUAUUCAGUGUUUAAUAUUUUGGUAAAUUGUGCCCUAACGUAUUGGGUUGCGAUUUCUUCAUUUGAUUUAAACAAUUGAAUAUUCUUUUAAACUUUAUUACACGAAUUUUUUUUUCAAUAUCGGGAAUUAAAAAAGGAUCGUGUCCUAACUUACUGGUUGUGAUCCCUUUUUUAAUCCAAGAUAAUUAAAUAUCUUCUAAAUAAGCACUUUUCAUUCGCGUAUCGGGAAUUCGAGACAUUGUGUCCUCCUUACUGGAUAUGAUUCUCUUUCUCGAAUAACGUGAAAUACCCUCCUUUUCUUGAAAAUUUUCAACGUUUUAAUACAAGGAUCGUAUUUUUAAAAUUCUUCAAAGUUUUCAACCUUCGACAUUAAGACAUUAACUAAUCAACUAGGUACCAAUUUUGGGCGUUACGAGGGUGCUAAUCCUUCCUCGUACGUAACUGACUCCCGAACCCGUUUUUUGAAUUUCGUGGACCAAACUUGUUGUUUUAAUAAAAUCAAAUCGUUUAUUAAAAACAACCACUUUUCGAGGUGAUCCAAUCACACCUCAUAAAAAAGGAUUGGUGGCGACUCCCAUUUCAUUUUUCAAAACCCAAGUUGACCCCGUUUUCAUCCAAAAAAUGGUGUCAACACUUCUCAACAGUCUAUAUUUAUAGAUAUAAGAAGUAUAAAUGAAAUAGAACUCUACUUCUAAUGACUAUUAAAAUCUAAAGUUUAUCCAAAUUUAUUCUGAUCUUAAUAAACAUCCACUUAAUAAUAAAGUAUUCAUAACACUCCCCUUAUUUUUCCAUCGAUAGAUAAUGUGUCUCGUUAAAACCUUACUAAGAUAAAAACCUCGUCGGAAAAAAAUCUUAGUGAAGGAAAAAGAGUACACAUAUCUAUAAUACGCAUAACAUGCUACCUCAUUAAAAACCUUAUUAGGAAAACCCAAUGGGACAAAACAUCAGUUAAGAAAAAAGAGUACAAUGCGUAUUUACUCCCCCUCAUGAAAACAUCACAUAAUGUCUCAUAUUCUACGUAUUCAGUCUUGAAUACUAGUUUUUCAAAUGGCUAUUUAAAUGUAUUGCUAAAUAUUUAUAUCACCAUUCUUUUGGAAGUCAUGAGUGAGAGAAAAUUUUAGGGAAAUAUAUUUUGAUCUCUUCAGAAGUUUCAACAAUAAUCAUAUCAAACUUUAAUCAUGAUUUUUCUAUAAGAAUAUAAAUAGGUAUUUUGGAUCAUUUUAUAAUCCUCCUUCGACUACUAUUCACUAAGUCAAAUUUACCACAUAUGUUCAAAUUAUUUCAAUUCAUAUAAAUGAACAAUUUCCCGAGAAUUCAAUAUGCUUCUAGCAUUCUAAAUCCUUCAAGGAUUUUAAUAUAAACUUUACUAUAUAGUUAUUCAUAAAAGGUUGUAACAACAACCAUUAGAUGCAAUUAGUAAAUGCAUUUGUAUCAGUAAACUUCUAGUUUACUUUAACAUGCAUUUCAAUUGUACUAAUAAUGCCAAUAUAAAUUGUGACAAAUUGAUAAUUUUACUGUCAUUCCUUUUACUUUGUAUCCACAUACAAGUACUAUUGUGACAUUUACUACUGGAAAUGUAUAAAUCAAUGUGAAGUCUAUAAUGCCACUAAGUCAUCAAAAUAAAUAUAAUUUCUAAACAAUUAUAUGCAAUAUUCGCUUAAGGGAAUAUGCCAAAAUCUUCAAAUGACUAAAAAAUGAUUAUAAAAUUUAUUAUAUUUAUUGUACACAUUCACUUCAAUGAAUGUGUAAAAAGUAAUUCAGACAAUAACGUAUGCAUAUAUCAUAUUUCUUACCAAUAAGAUUAUAUAGAUACCAUCUAUUUCAAGGAGUGAUAAAUUAGUAUAAACCAUUAAGCAUUUUGUACUAAGAAUAGACAUUUGACAACAUUUUGAAUCAUCCAUCUUUUUUUUUUUAUCUAUUUGUCAAUAAUAAUAAGUUAAAUUUUCAUAAUUGUUAUGAAUUGCUACAUUCACUUUAACAAAUGGAGCAAAACUGGUGGAACGAAUAACUCGUUAUUUUGUUUAGCUAUAAUGAGAUAUGAGAUCAAUUUAAAAUACUUUUAAAGCCUUUUUAACAAGAGUUUUGCACAAUCAAUUAACUACCAAGAAUAAUUGGCUAGAUCAUGUAUAGAAACAAGCCUAAAUUAAAUAUAUCAAUAAAAGUCACAUCUCAAACAUAAAAAUAAAACAUAAUGAAAAACUAGAAAUUUUUUUCUUUCAUAACCAUCAUCAUAAACAUGCAUGAAAUUUAAUUCAAAAUCCAACCAUUCAUGCUAAUAGAACUUUUCAUUUAUAAUUGCUCAUGUCAUUUCUCUAAAUAAUUAACACAUGGAAUAAUAUAAAACGCAUAAACUACUACCUUUAACAAUUCUUUGAACUAAAUCAAAUCCGUAUAACCAUAAAAUUCAUUGGUUUAUUAACACAAAUUUGUAUACGAGAUAUGUUUUAAUCAAAUAUAUUAUUUAAUUAUAAAAUCUACUAUAGCAACAUAAAUAAAUUAGUUAAAAUUCAUUUUCAUGAACAAUUGAGAUACUUAAAAUCAUAUGUAACCCAUGUAAUCAAAACUUAAAAAGAAGACCAUCUCAAAUGUUUCAACCAUAUAUCAAGUUGAUUUAAUAUUUAAAGAUGUACUUUUUUUUCUGCAUUGAGUCUUCAACUCUAGUAGUAGACUUUGAAUCUGAUCAAAAUCUAUUAAUAGCAAACUUUGAGAGUGGAUUUUAUUUUCUAGGUGCACAAUAGGAGAGCAAAGAGAGAGCAUUUUAUUAAUAAAUAUGAAUUAUUUACAAUGCUUCUCCAAGUUUAUAUUUAUAGACAUAAAAAGUAUAAAUGAAAUAACUAUUAGAAUUUAAAGUAUAUCAAAAACUUAUCCUGAUAAUAAUGAACAUCCAUUUAAUACUAAAAUGUUCAUAAUAAUUUUAUUAUUUAUGAAAUAUUUGAAUCCACAUUAUUUACUAUCAUUCGCAUACAAAAUUUACAGGAAGGUUUUUCACUUUUUUUUUGUUAAAAAAAAAGGGAGAAGAAGAGGUAAUCCUAACUGUCAAGGAUAAGAAUAGCUUCAUUGGUCAGUUUUAUAGACCAAUUAAUAAACAAUGGGCGUCUUAGAAUCAAGUAUAAAAUUCACCGGUAUUAACUUUAAUUUAAUAUGUAAUUUAAUACAUGAAUCUUGAUUUGGUAUUAAUUAUACACAUAAAAUUUCAAUUUUGAUUCAAGCAUACACAUUCAAAGAAAUAAAUACAUCAAUUUAUUUUUAUACUGAUAAAUAUAAUUAUAUGUGUAUAUAAUAUAUAAAUAUAAAAUGAUGUUAUAUCAAUAAUUAUGUUAAUAAUUUGUGAGAAUUGAAUCAAAUAAAAAUUUUAUGUAUAAUUUAAAGAUUUAAGCUAUUAUAUAUUAGAAAAGUAGGUAUAAAAAAACAUUUCUACACAUAAACUCUUAGGCUUCCUUAUGAAAAAAAAAUUGUAUUGAAUAGAGAGAAACCACUCCCUUCACGAUGAUGUCCCUUUUCUGUAAUUUAAUAAACUAUAUACAUGCAAACCUUAUAUUAUUCCUAAAGGAAAAGGUUUACUAUUAACAAAUCAUGACAUGAAGCUUGGAAUAUGAAAACAAUCAUAUAAAUAAAAUACUAAAAUUGUCAUCUUUAUCUUUUGGGUUAAUUUUUUUGAUUGGAAGAAGCAUUUUUUUCUCUUAAAAAUAUUUUUAUCACUUGGAAGAACCUAUCUUAUUUUGACUGCGGUUAUCCGUUACCCUCAAUGCCAUUCCCCACUUUUCAGUCAUUUGCUUCUAGGGGUGGCUGCUGAUUACUAUUAUGGAAUUACAAAAAUUAUUAAAACCAGCCAUCAAACUUCAAACAACAAUGCUGGAAAUCUGAUUGAUAGAAUUGGUAUAUAACGUUACAUUUUUUAAAUGAAAAAAAAAAUCCAAUUUCACACUCAAAUUUCAACACCAAAACCAUAAUAAAAAAUUCAUCAAAAUGGAAAACCUUUAUCCCUCGUCUCAAAACGUCCAUUUCCAGAUCUUGAUACGGAGAUCAACCUUACAUUUGGCGCCGGAGACAUUGGCCGCCGCCGGCGACUUACCUUUCGGGACAACCCCUUUAAUCCCAUCGCACGUAACUCUAAUCCCAACUUUCUUGCUCUUCAACCCACCCAUUUUCGCUGUCACUUUAGUAUCCAUCUCAACUUUCAACGACACUCCAUUCCCUUUCUUCAGUUCCGGUCUCAAGUUGUUCACCGUCUCCGCGUCCAAAUCCGAAGACGACGCCACCGUAACCCCCCUGAAAGUCGACUCGUCCUUGUCGUCACUGACGAAUGCCGGCAACGUUCCGUUCCCUAUCAGAACGUCGCCAUUGCUGGUCACACAUGAAAUGACGAAUGGGUCGUACGAGAAGGAGAGAUGAGAGUUGGGGUUUUUGGAAGAAAGGGUUAAGUUGAAAAGGGUUGAAAGAUGGGAAGAGGAGGAGUCGGCGGCGGUUUUGAGCUUCAAGCGGUGGAUACGGAGGGAAGCGAGGGUGAAUGAAGGGCGGUGAGGGCGGUAAAGGACGUAAAGGACGGUGCCAGUUAUGGCUGCUAAAAGGGCGAGCACGAGGACUAUGAGGAUGAUCCAGAAACAGCAGCAGCAACAGUAGUUGCGCCGUGGACGGUAGUUGCGACGUCUGUUAUGGGGCUGUGGACGGUAGGGUAGGCGGGCGGUGGGGUUAAUGAGGUGGGAUUUGGUAGUUCCGCCGUUGGUUGUGGUGGAGGUAGUAGUAGUAGUAGUAGGAGCUGCUGCUCCGCCAGGGGCAGCGGUGGCGGUGGGUUUGGAGGAAGGGAAUACUUUGUCCGCCAUUGUCAAAAACUGAGAAAUGGA